rnacentral:lncRNA from 1 species
UGCCCAGCACCCAGCCCCCCAGAACAGAGCAACAAAAACAGAGUCCAAAGAGCUUCUGAGCAGCCAAGGCAAUGUUUGAGGUCUGCCCUUAAAAUCCCAUAGAACACUUCUUGCCCUAAGGUGGAGUUUAUAGAGAAAUACUGCUACUUCCAACUUAUAAACCUGAAGUUCCACGUUCCUGGAGGGAACUAUCCGGGAAUGAAGGGCCAUCAAUUACUGCCAUCUGGUUAGAUUGGAAACAGAAGACUGGGGAAGACGGUGGAAAGAGGAAAUAAAGACCAGCUGAGGUAAGCGACUGUUCUUGUCAAGGGGGAGGUCGGGGCAAACCACAGUAAGUUAGAGGAAGAAAAUAACUUGAGGUCUAACAGUUUCAUUUUGGACAAUAAAUCCCACAUGCCUCCAAGGGCCCUAGCACCAUGGUUCUCAAUCUCAGAAAACCUGGAAAAAAAUGGUUUAAAAUGCAGAUUCCAGAGGACCUUCCCAGAUAUUCUAUUUGGGGGGUACCUAGGGUCAGGUCCAGGAAUCUAAAGCUUGUUUCAUAAGAUCCUGUUACUUCUGUAACAGUUAAUCCUUGGACCCCUUUUCAGAACACACUGACCUAAACGUAUGAGUACACCCCAGUUAUUCAUUCCUUCAACUGAUAUAUGUUUAAAAUAUAACUGGGAAUUACAGAGAGAUGACAAAAGCCUAGCCCUACCCUUAGAAAGCCCACAGCCUGUCGGAUAUAAAAACAGGUAAAUAAAAUCUGUGGGGUCACUGCUGCACAGACAUGGGUGUGUGCGGGGGGUGGGGGUGGGGGGGGGCUCAUGUGCCACAUCAAUAACACGACAAACCCUACUUUGGCAGGUCUGAGAAGCUUCCAUGGAUGAGAAGUUGGAGCUACACAGUAAACAAGGAUGAAUUCACCAAGCUGACAUAAGGGAAAGAACAUUUCAAUACCAGUAGGUCCUCAGGUUAAGAAAGUGAGGACAUUAAACUGAGGUUGAACUGUAAACCUGACAUGGAGCCUGAAGGACAGAGAGGGAAAUAGCAGAGGAUAGGUAGGAAUGUCCGGGGAAGGGCCAGAUGGAAGGCAAUUCCAAACCACAAACGCUCAUGUUAAGAAGCUCUCUUGAGGGCAGUGGGGAUGACUGACAGCAUUAAUGAAAAAAAAAUUUACAUGUAAUCAGAUUUGUGCCUUUGCUCACUCAGACUCCAGUUGGGAUCAUACUGCUUGUUAUGGAUGAUCAAUUUGAUUGGAUUAAGACAUGCUUAAGGUUAAAGGCUUCUGGGUAUCUCAAUGAGGGAGAUUCUAGGAAUAAUUGGCAUGUGGGACAGCAAACUUUGGCAGACACCCACCCUAAGUGUAGGCAGCAGAGUCCAAUAGGUUGGAGGCUUGGAGAGAACAAAAUUUGGAAGAACAAGGAGGCAGCAGCAGAUGCAAGCUUGAUUCUUCUUGGAUGGGUUCUUGAUUGCUUCUGCGCUGGGCUGAGAACAUUGUACUCUUGCUCCUUCACUCUUCCAAAGCAGACUCUGCCCAGUGACUCUCCAGGGAGUUUUCAGGCCUUUGGUCCCAAACCAGAGCUACAAAUCAUUUAUCCCUCUUGUUCUGAUGUUAGAGUCUGUAAACAAGUCAAAAUAACACCUGGCAUUUUGCCAGGAGAAUGUUAGAGUUCGUAAACAAGUCUGGAUGGUGCCUGGCAAAAUGCCAGAGGGAGUGGUUUGAGAAGUAACAAAAGCAAGCCAUUAAGUGUGGAGAUUCCUUAUUGGUUGACUGAUGUAUCUAGUUUAUGCUAAUUAGAUAAGCUGUGUGUAAUGUAUAAAUACUGCUCCUGUCCUGCAAUAAAUGGCUCCCACUCCUGCUGUAUCAAUCUACACAAGUUGCUCUGUCACCCCCCGGUUAUUUUGCUGCAGCCGGACUCCGGCAUUCUGAGGUUUCCAGCUUCUUGAACUGAGGAGCUAUUUGUUCCUCCAGCACUCCAGGCUGCAGAUGGCCAUUAUGGACUACCCAGCUUCUGGUUGUAUAAACCAAUCUAAUAACUUCCCUCUUUAUAAUCAUAUAUAUAUAUGAUCAUAUAUCAUAUGUGUGUAUGUAUCUUGGUUGUGUUCUUUUAGAGAACUCUGACUAAUAAAGUGCAGAAGAUAAAGAUAUUGAAGGUGAAGAUGACAGCCUUUAUUUAAGUAAUGGUAACAGUGGAGAAGCACAAGAUGCUGAAAUUGUUUGGUGAGAUAACAAAUAAAUUGUGGCUAGAACUGUUGUAUGAAGCCCUAUGGAUACCAUUAUAUUACAAGCCCACAAUCUUUUAACUUCAAUUCCAAAAUUAUUUAUCCUCAAUCCCAAAGCCAAAAAGCUCUGGAAAAAAAAUUAUAGUAAUUGAUUUAGUAGCAGCACCUGACCUGCCUUAAAGUAAUUUGUGACAAAACCUACCCUGAUCUGAAACUCUAAUUUUCGGUUAUCCCAUUAGUGGAAUCAUUCCUAUAUUUCACUGCUGAACUAUUUUGAAUUAUAUGGUUCCUUGGAGCUGUGCUCUAUCCUGUGCAGGGUGUUAUAGAACACAUGGUUUAGGGUUCAGAUUUACUUUCUAAAAUCAGAGCAAUCUGAAUUUACAUAUACUUUGGGCCCCUAGUGUUUUGAAUAAGGAAUUUGGGAUCUGUAAAAAUAGAGCAAAGAUAUUGCUCCCACCUAAGCACCAAAGCAUCAAACAGAAGGGGAAACCAACAAGAUGCAGACCUGGACAUGAAGAAAAGGAAGGACUCUUGUCUCUGGCUUGGGUUUAGGACAACAGAGACUAUCACAAUCCAGAAUGAGGAAGAAGAAGGAACAAAAGAUUAAAGAACAUUCAAUGGAAGUUUAGACUAAAAAAUAGGAAAUUUUUAAUUUGAAUUGUUGAUUUUUUAAAAAGUGUUUACAUGGGCUCAUUAUACAUAUCUGGAAAAUCUACUUGUCUUGGAACACCUCAAACUUCUUCAAACCUAAAUAAAUUAAUAAUGAUAAUAAUAAUAAUAACAAUAAUAAUGCCUGACAUUGGUGGGAUACAUCAGAGCUUAUCCAGCACUUUCUAAAACUGUUGCAUUUAGUUCUAAACAACUCUAAAGCAUUUUUGUAAGCAUGUGCUUAUGGACUUACGGACUUAUGGACUUUGAAUUAAAUCUUAAU